rnacentral:rRNA from 1 species
AUUGAACGCUGGCGGCAUGCUUUACACAUGCAAGUCGAACGGCAGCACAGGGAGCUUGCUCCCGGGUGGCGAGUGGCGCACGGGUGAGUAAUACAUCGGAACGUGUCCUGUUGUGGGGGAGUAACUGCUCGAAAGGGUGGCUAAUACCGCAUGAGACCUGAGGGUGAAAGCGGGGGAUCGCAAGACCUCGCGCAAUUGGAGCGGCCGAUGCCCGAUUAGCUAGUUGGUGAGGUAAAGGUUCACCAAGGCGACGAUCGGUAGCUGGUCUGAGAGGACGACCAGCCACACUGGGACUGAGACACGGCCCAGACUCCUACGGGAGGCAGCAGUGGGGAAUUUUGGACAAUGGGGGCGAACCCUGAUCCAGCCAUGCCGCGUGCAGGAU